rnacentral:rRNA from 1 species
UGCACGAGUUCAUACUCGUGGCGAAAAGCUCAGUAACACGUGGCCAAACUACCCUACAGAGAACGAUAACCUCGGGAAACUGAGGCUAAUAGUUCAUACGGGAGUCAUGCUGGAAUGCCGACUCCCCGAAACGCUCAGGCGCUGUAGGAUGUGGCUGCGGCCGAUUAGGUAGACGGUGGGGUAACGGCCCACCGUGCCGAUAAUCGGUACGGGUUGUGAGAGCAAGAGCCCGGAGACGGAAUCUGAGACAAGAUUCCGGGCCCUACGGGGCGCAGCAGGCGCGAAACCUUUACACUGCACGCAAGUGCGAUAAGGGGACCCCAAGUGCGAGGGCAUAUAGUCCUCGCUUUUCACGACUGUAAGGCGGUCGUGGAAUAAGAGCUGGGCAAGACCGGUGCCAGCCGCCGCGGUAAUACCGGCAGCUCAAGUGAUGACCGAUAUUAUUGGGCCUAAAGCGUCCGUAGCCGGCCACGAAGGUUCAUCGGGAAAUCCGCCAGCUCAACUGGCGGGCGUCCGGUGAAAACCACGUGGCUUGGGACCGGAAGGCUCGAGGGGUACGUCCGGGGUAGGAGUGAAAUCCCGUAAUCCUGGACGGACCACCGAUGGCGAAAGCACCUCGAGAAGACGGAUCCGACGGUGAGGGACGAAAGCUAGGGUCUCGAACCGGAUUAGAUACCCGGGUAGUCCUAGCUGUAAACGAUGCUCGCUAGGUGUGGCACAGGCUACGAGCCUGUGCUGUGCCGUAGGGAAGCCGAGAAGCGAGCCGCCUGGGAAGUACGUCCGCAAGGAUGAAACUUAAAGGAAUUGGCGGGGGAGCACUACAACCGGAGGAGCCUGCGGUUUAAUUGGACUCAACGCCGGACAUCUCACCAGCUCCGACUACAGUGAUGACGAUCAGGUUGAUGACCUUAUCACGACGCUGUAGAGAGGAGGUGCAUGGCCGCCGUCAGCUCGUACCGUGAGGCGUCCUGUUAAGUCAG